AGAUGGCUCUGUAAUGGAACACAAUGCCUGCAGACACAAGGGAGGGCAGGGGGAUGGAUCAGGCAUGGCACCACCUUGCAGGCCCUCCAUGAACAGCAGUGACAGUCACAGGGACCACCCACUACAGCUGGAUCCCCUCUCCACAUCCAGGUGAGAUCCUUCCACUUUCACUGCAACGCUCCCACAAUGCUCUCCACCUUGUCUGUCUGUCUGUCUCUCUCCCUAACGUACCACAGGGAAAUGAAGCAAGGGCUCCAGCUGUGUGUCAUAUUGCUGAGUGCCUUCCCUGGCCCAGCUUUUUAAGGGAAGAGAGAAGGAGAUACACCAUAUCACUGUUGCACCAUCCCAAGUUCUUGGUGUUCCAUAUGAUACUGGGCUUGAAUCUUCAUGCAGGAUUCCUUGUUUUCUUGGGGCAAAGAGUCCCAAGCAGUUUUCAUCAGAAGGAGUUCUGUUCAGGGCACACCCCAGAAUGGACUGUCCCAUGGGGAGGACAAAGUUUCCCACCAGGAAAACUCUGGUGCUGAUCUGACUCCUCAAGUUUACAGAGGGAACCUCUGUCGCCAUUCAUCUUUGGCCACUGAAAGAAAGAGGACUGAAGAGUCUUUGGUUUCUGGAACCGAGGGUGAGGGAGGUGGAAAAGGGAAGACACCUGGGUUGGCUUUGGGGUCUGAAAUAACUCAGCGUACACCUUGUCAGGCAUAAGGCUCUGAAUCUUUCAAAACUUUUAAAAAAAUUUUUAUUUAUUUAUUUA